rnacentral:sRNA from 1 species
UGGUGAGCCGAGAUCACGCUAUUGCACUCCAGCCUUGGCAAAAAGAGCGAAACUCCGUCCCAAAAAAAAAAAAAAAAAACAAAGCUGCAGCUCAGAGAAGUGGAGACACUGGCCCAGGGACCCACAGCAAGGCCUUAGCCCAGCUGGGGCUAGAUGGCAAGAGGUGGUUCAGCAUUGGAGCUCCAUUGCCUGGGUUCAAAUCGGGGUCUGUCACUGGCCAGCUGUGAGCCUAAGUCUCUGAAUUUCUCUGUGCCUUAGUGUCCUCAUUCUGUAGAGUGGAGAUAGUAAUCAUUCCUAUUUCAAAGAUUGUUGUGAGAAAUAAGUGAACUAAUACAUGUCAUAUGCUUAAAAGCAGGGCCCAGGACACAGUGAGCAUACAAUAGACAUUAGCUGCUGUGGUGUCUUGAUUUCAAGCCCAGUGCAGUUGCAUCUGACUUACGAAACUUCAGUGACACCUGCUCUGUGCCAGACACUGAAGAUGGAGCAGUGAACAGCACUGACCCAGCCUGUCCUCCUGUUGCCUGCAGGCCAGAAGCAAGGUCUCGCUGUGUUACCCGGGCUGGAGUGCAGUGGCUACUUACAGGCAUGAUCAUAGCAUACUGCAGCCUCGAACUCCUGGACUAAAGCAGUUCUCCUGCCUCAGCCUCCAGAGCAGCUGGGACUGCAGACACGCACCACAGAGCCCAGCCUGAGUCAUUUUGAUUCUGUAACUGGCUUCCUCUCGGCGGGCAGGCUCACACCCUCCACCCCCAGCUGGAGAUGGAAGGAGGAUGCUCACCAUCC